CGCUACUAGAUGAGCCUGCGUAAGAUUAGCUUGUUGGUGAGGUAAAAGCUCACCAAGGCGACGAUCUUUAGCUGGUCUGAGAGGAUGAUCAGCCACACUGGGACUGAGACACGGCCCAGACUCCUACGGGAGGCAGCAGUGGGGAAUAUUGGACAAUGGGGGCAACCCUGAUCCAGCAAUACCGCGUGUGUGAAGAAGGCCUGAGGGUUGUAAAGCACUUUCAAUUGGGAAGAAAAGCUAAUGGUUAAUACCCAUUAGCCUUAACGUUACCUUUAGAAGAAGCACCGGCUAACUCCGUGC
rnacentral:rRNA from 1 species